AUUUAAUCAAGAAAACUUGGCAAACCUUAAUUGUGUGGCCAAGAUUGAUCCACAUCAUCUUUUUAAAACACAUGUUAAAAGGGCAUAUUGGUCAUUUGAUCAAGAUAUCAUUUCACUCUCUUCACCAUCACAUCAACUCAUUUAUUACCCAUCAUUUCUUCCCUUUUUAAACAAAAAAAUACAUACAGAAUCCAUCUCUUUCUUUCUUCUUCAUACCCCAUUCCUUUCUCUUCAAAACCCUAACUCCAUUGCUUUCACCCCAUUCCUUCCAACCUUUGAAAUAUGAAGAUCGAAGCCACCAUCAAUGCUCUGCCACCAUCAAAGCUCUCAAAGAUCGAAGAUCAAAGCCACCAUCCCUUCCAACCUUGAAAUCUGAAGAUCGAAGCCACCAUUGAAGAUCGAAGCCACCAUCAAAGCUCUUAAAGAAAAGGAAGCUCGGUGUCAUUUUAAUCACAUCUUUGUUUCUGUUUUUUAGAGAGAGAAAGCUAAUGUUUUGGAAGGAGAGAUAACAAUUUUCAUGUUGUUCACCUAGACACCAAGAACACACGCACAAGUGUGUGAGAGAGAAACAGGUGGAAAGAUGUUUUGUGUUCAAGAUGAAGAUGGUUAUCAAGAAGCGAAACCCGCGGAAGGAUUACAACGCAUCAUCAGGUUUUCGUGGUGACGAUGGUGUUGUUGUGAAGGCAAUUUUUAGAAGACCAUUUUAGAAGCAUUACAACUAUUGAUAUAAAAUUUAUUUUUAUUUUCACUGUUAGUAUGCCAAUAUUUGGAUGAAUACGGAUGUUGUUGUGAAGGCAAUUUUUUUUUUUUGGAUGCAACAACUAUAUGUAACAUGUGUAACCUUGACGUUGUAACACAUGUAACACCUAUAUGUAAUAUGUGUAAGAUUGCUAUACAUGUGUUACAUAUAUACCCAUAUUGUAACAUAUGUUAUAAACAUGUGUUACAUAUGUCAGCCCCUUUGGUGUCAAUUUAAACUUAGCAAAUUACAUA